CCAACUGAGCCACCCAGGCGCCCCAGAAUUCCUCUUUUUGACCCAAUAAAAAAGCAAAAAGCCCUUCCAGAAAGUACCCCAUUAAAAAGUCUAUUUGCUUAGCCAGGUGCCUGACGCCCGCCCCUCUCUGUAAGGCAGGUCAAUAGCACUGCUGGCCUUGCCUCUGGUUCCUGGCAGCCACCUGCGGGAGGGUCCCACCGGUGGGGAACAAAGUGGGACGAGGCAGGAGCCAUCUGAGUGCAGCCUUGGAUCUGACA